GAAAAUUUACCAUUACUAUCUUAAAUCUUUGUGGGUUAGUUUCUGAUUAUCCAACAUCCCAUGAUUAUGCUAUUAGUCAAAUACUGAAAUUUUUGUUGGUUUCCCAAUAUAAAUUUUGCUUAGGAAGGAACAUCAUGGAGGCCGCUUGCCGCAUAAGAGGCUGGAGCGGCAAGUUUGGUGUGGCUGCUCCUCCAUGCAAAGGCUGAGGUCCAACACUGACCGCAGGCAAGCCCCAUGGCAUUCACCGCUUCUCUACGUGUUGCUGGAGGAUGGCUCACAACAUGCGAAGCAUUUAGCUUAGAUUUGCUUAAAGGCGGCUCCCCACAUAAUGUCGACUUUGGCCUGCAGUCGAGAGAUGCACAGUGCAAAUUUUUAUUUGUUUUGCAGGUUCAUCCAUAAGGUUAUCAUUUUGUAUGGUGAGCCUCAAAGUGAUUAUCACCAUAUAGUUGUGAGCAUGAUAUAUUGGGGCAUCAAGAUCAAGCUCCAUGGAGGUGGACACAGCUUACUGGUUUCGGUUCAGAUAGAAGGGCAAACUUGGGAGAAUCAAUAUGGUGUACAUGAAGAGAUAUGAGCAGAUUGUUUGUCUGGAGAAUUGAGUUAGGAUAUUCUGCACGUACUAUCGAGUUCCGACCAAGGGUUGUAUUUUCUACUGGGGAUGAGUUGGUUCGGCCAGCCACUCCAAACUCUAAAUCAUGGUGAUUGACGAGGUCACCAAGCCAAGAAGAGGUGCUGCGAUUCGCUACAGGAGGGCACGGUGGGGUAAGUUUGGCGCUGCGACCAUGGUGGCUGCAGUGGUCAAUGCCAAGGCGUCUCACCACAUCCUUGCACUAUGCGCCAUGAGGGGGCUCUCAAGAUGAAGAGACAGGAGGAGCGCCGGCUCAGGGAAGCUGCAUAUUUUUUUCAUGGAUGCCUUUACACAUUCUAUGUUUGGUUGGUAUAAUAGCAGACUUUUCUUAAGGAAGUAAAGGAUUUAAAGUAACUUUGUUUCUCCAAAAAAAAAUCUCCAUAGAUUAAAUGGUGGCUUUAUUAUUUGGAAGGAUGUAUGUUAUUAGUUAUUGUUUAGUUUCAGCCUCAUUGUGGAGGAAGAGGUCGCGUCAAUGUGGAGACUAGGCGAACUCAAGUGGUCAUCAACUUGCCUCUGUACGCCAGCCAACACCCUAUCAAUCGAGAAAUUUGAGAAAGCCAUGGAGCUUUUGAGAACCCUAUGAUGGCAUUCAGGUACAGAGCCUCUCAAGCUUGGUCUAGAAUCUUUAUCAAAGAAGAUUUAGAAGAGGUCGAGAGGAGAUGACAUGUGCAACUAGAACUUCACCGAUGCUUUGCGAUAUGGUUGAACACAGGCAUAUGACUCCUCUUGUGGACUGGUUGCUACAAUUGAAAUACUUGGGCUUCUUAUGCCUUCCCUUUACAUAAGGUCCUGUAUCUGAUGACAACUGACGUAUUUGGGGCAUCAAGCAUGUUAAACCAAGCUGGUCAUCUGACCGAUAAUGGAGUAAUGUUAGUUGUAAGACCGAAACACUAAGACUUGAAGAUAUUUUUUAAUAGAUCACCUUGGUUCUGUGGCACCCAUGUUAUAUAUGUAAUAUUGUGCUAUGUACUACUCCUGUUUACCUAUGUGGAAAUCCAUGAUAUCACACUUGACCUAUGUACAAUGUAUCAGCUACCC